CUGUCAGCCAUGGAGGCUGAAGACCUGUUUAUCCACAGAAAAAUUACAGCAUGGGCAGUGACAGGACAUGAUUCCUCCCACAAGUCUCCCAGUGUGCCUCAGUCUUGAACUGCAGGGAUGAGAGGGGAGAUGAGACUCCAUAGCCACUCUGCUGAAACUGCU
ensembl:misc_RNA